AGCACAAGUAUGGAGUGUCACGGAGGCUUACACCAGGGCACUCUGCACACCUAACAGACGACUUACAUGGAAACACAGAACCUAGGCAUUUGCCCUCUGAUCAUGAAAUCUCCAGUGGGUCUGUUCUAAAGGUGAGCAAAGAUUCCCAAGCUAGACAAGAGGACACUCACUGACUCCACCGAUGUCUUACUCCCACCAACUGUGAAUGGAUGUCUAAGGCAAAAAUCGGAAAACUACGUGCAUCAGGGGAAUUCUGAGCAGUAAAAACAAAACAAGAUUAAAAAACAAAACCCACACUCCUCACCAACAAAAGAAUAAGAAACUCUGUUCCAUUAGGUGAAAUCUGAUUUCAGAUCAAUGGAGUGUAGAUGGAGGAAUAAGCCCAUGUGACCCGAGUGAAUUAAAGCUGCUGAGCAAAAUCCAAACAGCAAAAACGGAGGAGGUGGAGCACAGGGACAGGGUUGAUUGACCCAGCACUUGACCCACACAGAGCCUCUGCCUCUGGACCUGAACUAAAACGGUUCCAUCCAUUAUACAGACAAGAAAACCAAGUCCAAGAAAGCUUUGUUCCAGGUCUUCUAAUUAGAAAAAUAAGAGAAAAAGAGGUGCCUUCCCACUCCAACCUUCCUGCAGCUGCUUUGUGCCCCUAAGCCGUUUCCUCCUGUGUAAAAAAGUGACAGCAACACCUUCUUCCUGGUAUACCGUAGCCAUUAGAUGACAAAAUGUGUGUAAAUC